rnacentral:rRNA from 1 species
UAGAGUUUGAUCAUGGCUCAGAUUGAACGCUGGCGGCAGGCCUAACACAUGCAAGUCGAGCGGAAACGACAACAUUGACUCUUCGGAGGAUUUGUUGGGCGUCGAGCGGCGGACGGGUGAGUAAUGCCUAGGAAACUGCCUUGAUGUGGGGGAUAACCAUUGGAAACGAUGGCUAAUACCGCAUAAUGCCUACGGGCCAAAGAGGGGGACCUUCGGGCCUCUCGCGUCAAGAUAUGCCUAGGUGGGAUUAGCUAGUUGGUGAGGUAAUGGCUCACCAAGGCGACGAUCCCUAGCUGGUCUGAGAGGAUGAUCAGCCACACUGGAACUGAGACACGGUCCAGUCUCCUACGGGAGGCAGCAGUGGGGAAUAUUGCACAAUGGGCGAAAGCCUGAUGCAGCCAAGCCGCGUGUGUGAAGAAGGCCCUAGGGUUGUAAAGCACUUUCUGUCAGGAGGAAAGGUUAGUAGUUAAUAGCUGCUAGCUGUGACGUUACUGACAGAAGAAGCACCGGCUAACUUCGUGCCAGCAGCCGCGGUAAUACGAGGGGUGCAAGCGUUAAUCGGAAUUACUGGGCGUAAAGCGAGCGUAGGCGGCUGAAUAAGCUGGAUGUGAAAAACCGGGGCUCAACCUCGGCCGUGCUUUCAGAACUGUUUAGCUAGAGUCCUGUAGAGGGGGGUAGAAUUUCA